AAAAACCUGGAAAUAGUUUUGGAAGAAGAAAGCCUUGCUAUGUCUCAAUUUGUAGCACAACAUGUUACAGACACAAUGAAUAAGUGUUUGUGGUGCUAACUGGUUUUUAUUUCCAUGCAGAGACAGACAUUACACAAUGAAGACUGAUGUGCUGCAUAAAGUAGAUAAUUAGGUUUCCAUGUGACCAGCAAAUAUCCCAGAAUACUUUUCCAGGUUUCACAGCAAAGUCAAUACAGUGAAAAGGGAUGGAUUGCAGCAAGCUAUGCAAAGAGAAAGUAGUUUUGACAGCCCAAACCUCCUGACAAGUGCCUGCAGAGCUGAGGGGCAGCCCCCUUCCCAGCCCUUUGGCAGAGAAGGCAGAAGGAUGGUGUGAAUUCCUGGCCAGCUGGCGUAGCACCAGGGGCUGAGAAGGGCACUGAGGCAGCGAGCCUCACUGUGAAUGUGUGAGACGUGACAGCUCUGAAAAUGCAGAACUCAGGGUGUGCACAUGUUAGGAUGUGCAUAUCUUCACAGCAGGAUUUUGCAGUGACCUUUGAAGAGCUGUUAUUUAAGCCAGAGGAAUUUCAGUCAACUCCUUAGUUGUCAUGACAAGCAGGUUUCUCGUUUGGCUGCUUACAUGUGUACCUCAGGACAUAUAUUAAGAGUGCUGGGUUUAUGUAGUGAUAUUUUUUGAUGCACCUGUAUUUCUUCAACAGUCUCACCCAAUGACUCCACUGGAAGCAGUUCUUCUCACAGUUCCAUGUGGCUUCUAGAGGCAGAUGUUUAGCAAGGAGAUUUAUUUUGAAUUUAUCAUUGUGUAAUGAGAUAUAUGAAUUUUCAGUUUAUGCCAUUUGGAUAUAUUUUUUUCUUAAAUAAUCACUCUAUAUGUCUUGGAUAUGCUGGGAGGGGGAACAUGAUUAACAUGGGCCCACACCAGCACUGGUAGUCUGAUUCUGGAACUUUUGUUCCCUUCUCAUGGACCUUUUCAUUGUCAUCCAAGUUGCCCAUCUGAAUCUCAUGCUGAGGCUACAAAAUAGCCCUAUAUGCAGUUUUUCUUACUGAAAGAUACACACGAUCAAUAGCUGCUAAUGGAGAUCAUGCAUUGUAGUUCAUAUGAUGGAAUUUUUUGGUCAGCUUUCAUGAACUGUAUUUUCAGCAACUUCAAAGUACAGUACAGAGAUCAUUACCAUGGAUUUGUAACAACAGUUCAGAUUCUUUUCAAGUAGAUGGGAAUGGAAGUGGGUGUCACUUUAUAUUCCUGAAAGCUACCAUCUUAAUUUCAUAAAAGUCACAAUAACUGUACUUGUACUACUUCAACCAAGACUGAGAUUUUGGACAAGUGACAUUAAAAGAAAAUUUCGAAA